rnacentral:tRNA from 1 species
GCCUUCAUGGUGUAACGGUAGCAUACUCCGCGUGUAUUUGAGAGAUCCAGGUUCGAAUCCCGGCAAGGGCA